AGUAUCGCGUAGGGAUUUAUCGUUGGGUGGUGGAUAACCGCGGGAAACUGCGGCUAAUACAGCAUGACGCCUGUGGGCCAAAGGUCGCAAGACCGCCUGACGAGGAGCCUGCGUCCGAUUAGCUAGUUGGUUGGGUAAUGGCUGACCAAGGCUGUGAUCGGUAGCUGGUCUGAGAGGAUGAUCAGCCACACUGGGACUGAGACACGGCCCAG
rnacentral:rRNA from 1 species